rnacentral:rRNA from 1 species
UGCCAGCCGCCGCGGUAAUACGUAUGUCUCGAGCGUUACCCGGAAUCACUGGGUGUAAAGGGUUCGUAGGCGGCUUGAUAAGUUGGACAUUAAAGACCGGAGCUCAACUCCGUGUUUGUGUUCAAAACUGUCAAGCUAGAAUUAGGGAGAGGUAAGCGGAAUUCUGAGUGUAGGGGUGCAAUCCGUAGAUACUCAGAGGAACACCAAAAGCGAAGGCAGCUUACUGGAACUAUAUUGACGCUGAGGAACGAAAGCGUGGGUAGCGAAAAGGAUUAGAUA